rnacentral:rRNA from 1 species
UACGGGGGGGGUAAGCGUUGUUCGGAAUUACUGGGCGUAAAGAGCUCGUAGGUGGCCUGUCGCGUCGGCUGUGAAAACUCGGGGCUCAACUCCGAGCUUGCAGUCGAUACGGGCAGGCUAGAGUUCGGCAGGGGAGACUGGAAUUCCUGGUGUAGCGGUGAAAUGCGCAGAUAUCAGGAGGAACACCGGUGGCGAAGGCGGGUCUCUGGGCCGAUACUGACACUGAGGAGCGAAAGCGUGGGGAGCGAACAGG